AUUGAACGCUGGCGGCAUGCUUUACACAUGCAAGUCGAACGGUAACAGGCCGCAAGGUGCUGACGAGUGGCGAACGGGUGAGUAAUGCAUCGGAACGUGCCCAGUCGUGGGGGAUAACUACUCGAAAGAGUAGCUAAUACCGCAUACGAUCUAUGGAUGAAAGCGGGGGACCGUAAGGCCUCGCGCGAUUGGAGCGGCCGAUGUCAGAUUAGGUAGUUGGUGGGGUAAAGGCUCACCAAGCCAACGAUCUGUAGCUGGUCUGAGAGGACGACCAGCCACACUGGGACUGAGACACGGCCCAGGCUCCUACGGGAGGCAGCAGUGGGGAAUUUUGGACAAUGGGCGCAAGCCUGAUCCAGCAAUGCCGCGUGCAGGAAGAAGGCCUUCGGGUUGUAAACUGCUUUUGUACGGAACGAAACGGCUCUGGUUAAUACCCGGGGCUAAUGACGGUACCGGAAGAAUAAGCACCGGCUAACUACGUG
rnacentral:rRNA from 1 species